CUAGGAUCUGUAUGGUCCAAAAUGUGCAUGGAGCAAAGACAGAAACAGCUCUGAUUACAGCAGAACCGUGUCAUUGCCAUGGCGGUUCAAAGACUUGGACACACGACAGGAUGAGAAUCAUAGUUCGGAUGCUGGAAAAUAAGCAUCGUAAAUUAUUUCAUUUCCUGCUCUCGGAAAAUCAUGUGGACUAUAAUGAUCACUUGAGCAGAACUGGCACCACUACAACUCUGCAAAUUAUACACGCCGAAGGACUUGACAAACAGAGCAGGUGGCUGGGUGGCUAUGGCCAUAGAUGAACAACACAGAGGAGACGGGAGGCCGGAGGGAGGGGGAGAUGGUGCUUACCGGACAUGGUUGAAGGCGAAUCAGACCAUGAGGGCGGCGACGCUGUGGCUAUCCGUUCUCGCCUCCGCCUCCAUCUCGUCUCCUACCUUGUUCUCGUUUGAGUGCGGGGGAUAUGAGGAUGUCAAGGCGAGCGGAUGCUCCGGGUCGGUGGGUCAUGGAGGCGGUCUGCUCUGAGCGCCGGGGUGGGGUUCGCGGUGGCCGGAGCCGGCUUUGGCGAGGUCGUAGCAUUUUUCAGAAAACCCUCUAUCGCGAUCAAUAAUCGCGAUCCAUAUAUUU
rnacentral:lncRNA from 1 species